rnacentral:rRNA from 1 species
UACGGGGGGGAGCAAGCGUUGUUCGGAUUUACUGGGCGUAAAGGGCGCGUAGGCGGUCAGCACAAGUCAGUUGUGAAAUCUCCGGGCUUAACUCGGAAAGGUCAACUGAUACUGUGCGACUAGAGUGCGGAAGGGGCAACUGGAAUUCUCGGUGUAGCGGUGAAAUGCGUAGAUAUCGAGAGGAACACCUGCGGCGAAGGCGGGUUGCUGGGCCGACACGUGACGCUGAUGCGCGAAGCCAGGGGAGCGAACGGG